UACAGAGGGGGCAAGCGUUGUUCGGAAUUACUGGGCGUAAAGGGCGCGUAGGCGGCCUCUUAAGUCGAACGUGAAAUCCCCGGGCUCAACCCGGGAACUGCGUCCGAUACUGGGAGGCUUGAAUCCGGGAGAGGGAUGUGGAAUUCCAGGUGUAGCGGUGAAAUGCGUAGAUAUCUGGAGGAACACCGGUGGCGAAGGCAGCAUCCUGGACCGGUAUUGACGCUGAGGCGCGAAAGCUAGGGGAGCAAACGGG
rnacentral:rRNA from 1 species